rnacentral:rRNA from 1 species
GUCUACGGCCAUACCACCCUGAACGCGCCCGAUCUCGUCUGAUCUCGGAAGCUAAGCAGGGUCGGGCCUGGUUAGUACUUGGAUGGGAGAAACUGAAGUGCAGAGUGGUGAAUU